rnacentral:rRNA from 1 species
AUACGGAGGAUCCGAGCGUUAUCCGGACCCUUUACUGGGUUUAAAGGGUGCGUAGGCUGUUCGCUAAGUCAGCGGUGAAAUGGCGCGGCUCAACCGUGCAGCUGCCGUUGAAACUGGCGGGCUUGAGUGGGUUCGAGGCAGGCGGAAUGCGCGGUGUAGCGGUGAAAUGCAUAGAUAUCGCGCAGAACGCCAAUAGCGUAGGCAGCUUGCCAGGCCCCAACUGACGCUGAGGCACGAAAGCGUGGGGAUC